rnacentral:rRNA from 1 species
UACGUAGGGUCCGAGCGUUGUCCGGAAUUAUUGGGCGUAAAGGGCUCGUAGGCGGUCCAUCGCGUCGGGAGUGAAAAGCUGGGGCUCAACCCCAGUCCUGCUUCCGAUACGGGUGGACUAGAGGUAUGCAGGGGAGAACGGAAUUCCUGGUGUAGCGGUGAAAUGCGCAGAUAUCAGGAAGAACACCAAAGGCGAAGGCAGCAUCCUGGGAAGGCACUGACGCUAAUGUGCGAAAGCCAGGGGAGCGAACGGG